ensembl:snoRNA
GUCUUAUGAUGAAAACUUUGUCCAGUUCUGCUACUGAAUUAGAGCGAUGACAAUUGACGAUCUGAAGA